ACGCGAAACGGUGGUAAUGGUUGGAAGAAUAAUGGAUGGAGAGUUUCGAUCGUUAUUAUUGAGCUAUAUCGGUUUAAGAUUCGUUCGGACGAGAUUCAUUCCGUGAUGGAAUGUAAUAAUUUGUAUAUGUGAUAUUGGGCGAGAUAUUGGACUAUAUUCGAACGGUCUGUGCAGAAGUUGGAACGCUCUUUGUUCUGGUGCAGGCGUCGAUUCGAGCGAUGGAUUUGAGACGUUGCAAAGCAAUGGCUCGCGUAAUUUGGAAGUAAUUUGGAAGCGGUGGAGUUUCGAUUUGUAGUGUCGUGGACGAGAUAUGCCACGAUACAAACGAUCUAUAGAUGUUGAAACGCGUUGUGAUGCAGGCGACGAUUCGAGCGAUGGGUUUGAGACGGUGCAAACCAAAUGAUCAGUGGUUUCAUGAACAAAAUAUCUCGCGAUACAAAUUAAAACGUGUGAUGCAGGUUAGGUGUCGAUUCGAGCGAUGGGUUUAAAAUGAUGCAAAGCAAUGGAAGUAAUUUGGAAGUGGUGGAAUGAUCAUGAACAAAAUAGCGAUGGGUUUGAGUGCAAAGAAAUGGU